GAUGAACGCUGGCGGCGUGCCUAAUACAUGCAAGUCGAGCGAAUGGAUUAAGAGCUUGCUCUUAUGAAGUUAGCGGCGGACGGGUGAGUAACACGUGGGUAACCUGCCCAUAAGACUGGGAUAACUCCGGGGAACCGGGGCUAAUACCGGAUAACAUUUUGAACCGCAUGGAUCGAAAUUGAAAGGCGGCUUCGGCUGUCACUUAUGGAUGGACCCGCGUCGCAUUAGCUAGUUGGUGAGGUAACGGCUCACCAAGGCAACGAUGCGUAGCCGAACGGAGAGGGUGAUCGGCCACACUGGGACUGAGACACGGCCCAGACUCCUACGGGAGGCAGCAGUAGGGAAUCUUCCGCAAUGGACGAAAGUCUGACGGAGCAACGCCGCGUGAGUGAUGAAGGCUUUCGGGUCGUAAAACUCUGUUGUUAGGGAAGAACAAGUGCUAGUUGAAUAAGCUGGCACCUUGACGGUACCUAACCAGAAAGCCACGGCUAACUACGUGCCAGCCGCCGCUGUAA
rnacentral:rRNA from 1 species